rnacentral:tRNA from 1 species
GCGGUAUUGGCCUAGUCUGGUCUAAGGCACUUGAUUGUCAAUCAAGAGAGCACGGGUUCGAAUCCCGUAUGCCGCGC